rnacentral:lncRNA from 1 species
CAGGAUUGUCUGACAAUUACUGAGACGCUCUUGGGCUCCCUGGGCAAUAAAUUAUCUCAGGCUUUGGGCUGUUCCUGCAAGGAAUGAUUCCAAACUCAAGCUUUCUCUGUGAUCGGUAGGGGUUAUUCCUCCCGGCAGGGGGAGCUACACCGCCCUGCAAGGUCUUCCAGCACCAUGCCACUGGCUUUCCCAGAGAACAGGUAAACAACCAGCACCUAAACCCUCUUGCUUGAAGACUGAGAGCAAGAUGGCUCUCAUACCCACCCUUUCACUAGAGCUGACCAGAGAGGGCAGUGUUUCUUCCCCGUAACACACACUCAUGGUGGUCCCGCAGAGCUUUGACCUAACCAGGCUCUCUCUGGGGACAAUAAAACAUAGAUUGUUGCAUGUCCUUUCUUUUGGAGGAGCAUGUUUUGUAAGUUGUGGAAAUCUGUUCCUUCACAGACGGUGCGUGAUAUUGGGGAAUUCAUCUCAAGCCUUGGUUGCAAUACAAGCGGGAAUCAAGAAAAGACCCACCUUGCUCAAACGUGUCAUAAGAGAAAGAGAUCACGAGCAGGUGGAGAGGCAGGCAGAGGGAGAGGGAGAAGCAGGCUCCCUGCUGAGCAGAGAGCCCGACAUGGGGCUCCAUCCCAGGACCCUAGGAUCAUGACCUGAGCCGAAGGCAGAGGCUUAACCCACUGAGCCACCCAGGCGCCCCUGGAAAUGGCAUUUUAGAUACAGG